UUUCGGAUAAGGACUAUCCGCCACCGUGAGAGAGAGUGGGCAGAUAUUGAAUUCACAGGAGCUGUUAUGCAACACCCAGUUCAGCAUGAUACAUAUAGCUGUGGUGUGAUGGUCAUGAUGAUGGCAAAGGCAGUCAUGGAGGCAUUUCCUAAAUUGCCUAACAUGGAAUUUGGGACUACUGAAGAAGAAAUGGCAGAGGAACGCACAGCUAUGGCACUUGAACUACUUGGGGCUGUUUUUUUAAAUUUGUCUUUGUAUUGUCAUAAAUUGUCAAUUUUGUUUUUCAUUAGUGUUUGAUGCAGAGAACAAUUGCUCCAUGUGUGCAAAAGAGGAAAGUCCAGGGUCUGCCCUUACUGACUGGAUUCGGUGCGACAGCUGUAACAGGUGGUUUCAUGUACCGUGUGAGGACAUGGACAAAAACAGUUUGAACAUGCCAGAAAAGCAGCCUGGGAUUGCUGUUUGUGCAAAGCUUGAUC